rnacentral:tRNA from 1 species
GGGUCCGUGGUGGAAUUGGCAGACACAGCGGACUUAAAAUCCGCUUCCCGGACAGGGAGUGCCGGUUCGAGUCCGGCCGGGCCCACCA